rnacentral:rRNA from 1 species
GACGAACGCUGGCGGCGUGCUUAACACAUGCAAGUCGAACGGAAAGGCCCUGCUUUUGUGGGGUGCUCGAGUGGCGAACGGGUGAGUAACACGUGAGUAACCUGCCCUUGACUUUGGGAUAACUUCAGGAAACUGGGGCUAAUACCGGAUAGGAGCUCCUGCUGCAUGGUGGGGGUUGGAAAGUUUCGGCGGUUGGGGAUGGACUCGCGGCUUAUCAGCUUGUUGGUGGGGUAGUGGCUUACCAAGGCUUUGACGGGUAGCCGGCCUGAGAGGGUGACCGGCCACAUUGGGACUGAGAUACGGCCCAGACUCCUAAGGGAGGCAGCAGUGGGGAAUAUUGCACAAUGGGCGGAAGCCUGAUGCAGCAACGCCGCGUGCGGGAUGACGGCCUUCGGGUUGUAAACCGCUUUCGCCUGUGACGAAGCGUGAGUGACGGUAAUGGGUAAAGAAGCACCGGCUAACCACGUG